rnacentral:lncRNA from 1 species
GGACAUGAGGGAUUAUGGAGGGACAUGGGGGACAUGGAGGGUCAUGGAGGAACAUGGGGGACAUAGGGGAAUAUGGGGGACACGGAGGGGCAUGGGGGGACGUGGAGGGACAUGGGGGACAUGAAGGGACAUGGUGGGACAUGGAGAUACAUGAGGGACAUGGACAUGGUGGGAUAUGAGGGACAUGGGGGACAUGGGGUCAUGGGGAACACGGGGGGAUAUGGGGGGACAUGAGGGGACAUGGGAGACAUGGGGAACAUGGAGAUACAUGGGGGGACAUGGGGUCCUGGGGAACAUAAGGGACAUGGGGGACAUGGGGGGAUAUGGGGGGACAUGGAGGGGCACGAAGGACAUGAAGGGAUAUGGGGGACAUGAGGGGACAUGGGCAGGUCAUGAGGAACAUGGGGAGUCAUGGGGGGACAUGCAGGGGCAUGAGGGACCUGAAGGGACAUGGUGGGACAUGGAGAUACAUGAGGGACAUGGAUAUGGUGGGACAUGAGGGACAUGGAGGAACAUGGGGGACAUGGAGAUACAUGGGGGACAUGGGGUCAUAGGGAACAUGGGGGAUAUAGGGGGACAUAAGGGGACAUGGGGGACAUGGGGGACAUGGAGAUACAUGGGGGGUCAUGGAGUCAUGGGGAACAUAAGGGACAUGGGAGACAUGGGGAUAUGGGAGGACAUUGGGGGACAUGGGACAUGGAGGACAUGGGCGGACACGGAGGGACAUAGAGGAUCAUGGGGGGUCAUGAGGAACAUGGAGGGACAUGGGGGGACAUGGGACAGGGGGGACAUGAGGACACCCAUGGUGGCCCUGUCCCUGAUGAGACACCCGUGUCUCUGUGUGUGUGUGUCCAUGAUGUUUCCGUGCUCGUGGUGGCCUCGGUGACGUGUUGGUGACCUGUCGUGUCCAUGACGUGUCCGUUUCGGUGGCACCUUGGUGCCAUGUGGGUGGCCUGUCCCUGUCGGUGGCAUGUGGGGGCGUGUUCAUGGCAUGUGGGUGCAUGUGGGUGCAUGUUCAUGGCAUGUGGGUGCAUGUGGGUGCUGCAUGGGUGUGUGCGGGUGCCCUGUGGGUGCAUGUGGGUGCGUGCGCGUGGCGUGUGGGUGCGUGUGGGUGCCAUGUGCAUGCAUGUUGGUGCAUGUGGGUGCCACAUGGGUGCAUGUGGGUGCCCCGUGGGUGCAUAUUGGUGCAUGUGGGUGCAUGUUCAUGGCGUGUGGGUACGUGUGGGUGCUGCACGGGUGCAUGUGGGUGCCACAUGGGUGCAUGUUGGUGCCAUAUGGAUGCAUGUGGGUGCAUGUGGGUUCCGCAUGGGUACGUGUGGGUGCCACGUGGGUGCCUGUGGGUGCAUGUGGGUGCAUGUUGGUGCCACAUGGGUGCAUGUGGGUGCCAUGUCGAUGCACGUUGGUGCAUGUGGGUGCAUGUGGGUGCUGCGUGGGUGCAUGUGGGUGUCACGUGGGUGCAUGUGGGUGCCAUAUGGGUGCAUGUUCAUGCCAUAUGGAUGCACAUUGGUGCAUGUGGGUGCGUGUGGGUGCCACAUGGGUGCAUGUGGGUGCUGCAUGGGUACGUGUGGGUGCCAUGUGGAUGCAUGUGGGUGCAUGUGGGUGCAUGUGGGUGCCACAUGGGUGCAUGUUGGUGCCAUAUGGAUGCAUGUGGGUGCAUGUGGGUUCCGCAUGGGUACGUGUGGGUGCCACGUGGGUGCCUGUGGGUGCAUGUGGGUGCAUGUUGGUGCCACAUGGGUGCAUGUGGGUGCCAUGUCGAUGCACGUUGGUGCAUGUGGGUGCAUGUGGGUGCUGCAUGGGUGUGUGCGGGUGCCCUGUGGGUGCAUGUGGGUGCGUGCGCGUGGCGUGUGGGUGCGUGUGGGUGCCAUGUGCAUGCAUGUUGGUGCAUGUGGGUGCCACAUGGGUGCAUGUGGGUGCCCCGUGGGUGCAUAUUGGUGCAUGUGGGUGCAUGUUCAUGGCGUGUGGGUACGUGUGGGUGCUGCACGGGUGCAUGUGGGUGCAUGUGGGUGCCACAUGGGUGCAUGUUGGUGCCAUAUGGAUGCAUGUGGGUGCAUGUGGGUUCCGCAUGGGUACGUGUGGGUGCCACGUGGGUGCCUGUGGGUGCAUGUGGGUGCAUGUUGGUGCCACAUGGGUGCAUGUGGGUGCCAUGUCGAUGCACGUUGGUGCAUGUGGGUGCAUGUGGGUGCUGCAUGGGUGUGUGCGGGUGCCCUGUGGGUGCAUGUGGGUGCGUGCGCGUGGCGUGUGGGUGCGUGUGGGUGCCAUGUGCAUGCAUGUUGGUGCAUGUGGGUGCCACAUGGGUGCAUGUGGGUGCCCCGUGGGUGCAUAUUGGUGCAUGUGGGUGCAUGUUCAUGGCGUGUGGGUACGUGUGGGUGCUGCACGGGUGCAUGUGGGUGCAUGUGGGUGCCACAUGGGUGCAUGUUGGUGCCAUAUGGAUGCAUGUGAACACGCUGAGCAGCGGCAGCUCCUGGACGCAGCACUGGCACGGGCCGGGGACUUCCUGCGGGGCCGCGUGGAGGCAGCGGGGCCCUUCGCAGCCGCCAUCGGCACCUAUGCCCUGGCCCCGAGCGACCCCCCGGGCCCCCCCGGGCCCCUGCUGCGCCUGGCC